rnacentral:rRNA from 1 species
UACGGGGGGGGCAAGCGUUGUUCGGAAUUACUGGGCGUAAAGGGCUUGUAGGCGGCCAACUAAGUCAGACGUGAAAUCCCUCGGCUUAACCGGGGAACUGCGUCUGAUACUGGAUGGCUUGAGUUCGGGAGAGGGAUGCGGAAUUCCAGGUGUAGCGGUGAAAUGCGUAGAUAUCCGGAGGAACACCGAAGGCGAAGGCAGUGUCCUGGCGAGUGACUGACGCUGAGGUGCGAAAGCCAGGGGAGCGAACGGG